UACGGAGGGUGCAAGCGUUAUCCGGAUUCACUGGGUUUAAAGGGUGCGUAGGAGGGCAGGGAAGUCAGUGGUGAAAUCUCCGGGCUUAACUCGGAAACUGCCGUUGAUACUCUCUGUCUUGAAUACCGUGGAGGUGAGCGGAAUAUGUCAUGUAGCGGUGAAAUGCUUAGAUAUGACAUAGAACACCAAUUGCGAAGGCAGCUCACUACACGAAUAUUGACUCUGAGGCACGAAAGCGUGGGGAUCAAACAGG
rnacentral:rRNA from 1 species